rnacentral:sRNA from 1 species
ACGUGGAGUCAUACAAAGCCACAUAGCAAGUUAAAAUAAGGUUUUAUCCGUAAUCAAUCAUGGGCGCUGUUUCGGCGCCUAUUUU